AGAAAGCGUAACAGCUCACUGGUCAAGCGCUCCUGCGCGGAAAAUGUAACGGGGCUUAAGUGAUACACCGAAGCUGCGGACUCGAAAGAGUGGUAGCGGAGCGUUCUGUAAGUCUGUGAAGGUGGCCUGCGAGGGCUGCUGGAGAUAUCAGAAGUGAGAAUGCUGACAUGAGUAGCGAGAUGAGUGUGAGAAACACUCACGCCGAAAGUCCAAGGGUUCCUG
rnacentral:rRNA from 16 species